UACGUAGGCAGCGAGCGUUGUUCGGAGUUACUGGGCGUAAAGAGUGCGUAGGCGGUUUUCUAAGUUUGGUGUGAAAUCUCCCGGCUCAACUGGGAGGGUGCGCCGAAGACUGGAAGGCUUGAGUAUGGGAGAGGUAAGCGGAAUUCCUGGUGUAGCGGUGAAAUGCGUAGAUAUCAGGAGGAACACCGAUGGCGAAGGCAGGUCACUGGGCCGCAACUGACGCUGAGGAGCGAAAGCAUGGGGAGCGAACAGG
rnacentral:rRNA from 1 species